rnacentral:rRNA from 1 species
AACGAACGCUGGCGGCAGGCCUAACACAUGCAAGUCGAGCGAGGACUUCGGUCCUAGCGGCGGACGGGUGAGUAACGCGUGGGAACGUGCCCUUUGCUUCGGAAUAGCCCUGGGAAACUGGGAGUAAUACCGGAUGAGCCCUUUGGGGGAAAGAUUUAUCGGCGAAGGAUCGGCCCGCGUUGGAUUAGGUAGUUGGUGGGGUAAUGGCCUACCAAGCCGACGAUCCAUAGCUGGUUUGAGAGGAUGAUCAGCCACACUGGGACUGAGACACGGCCCAGACACCGAGGGGAGGAGGCAGGGGGGAAUUUAAGACAAGGGGGAAAACCCUGAUCACGCCAUGCGGGGUGAGGAAGGAAGGCUUUAGGGUUGUAAAGCUUUUUCAGCGGGGAAGAUAAGGACGGGACCGGAAGAAGAAGCCCCGGCUAACUCCGUG